GGAUUAGAUACCCUGGUAGUCCACGCCCUAAACGAUGUCUACUAGUUGUCGGGUUUUAAUUAACUUGGUAACGCAGCUAACGCGUGAAGUAGACCGCCUGGGGAGUACGGUCGCAAGAUUAAAACUCAAAGGAAUUGACGGGGACCCGCACAAGCGGUGGAUGAUGUGGAUUAAUUCGAUGCAACGCGAAAAACCUUACCUACCCUUGACAUGGCAGAAAUCCUUGAGAGAUUGAGGAGUGCUCGAAAGAGAAUCUGCACACAGGUGCUGCAUGGCUGUCGUCAGCUCGUGCCG
rnacentral:rRNA from 1 species